rnacentral:rRNA from 1 species
GGGGAAUCUUCCGCAAUGGGCGAAAGCCUGACGGAGCAACGCCGCGUGAGUGAAGACGGCCUUCGGGUUGUAAAGCUCUGUUAUACGGGACGAAUAGUCUUGUGGUUAAUACCCAUAAGAAGUGACGGUACCGUAAGAGAAAGCCACGGCUAACUACGUGCCAGCAGCCGCGGUAAUACGUAGGUGGCAAGCGUUGUCCGGAAUUAUUGGGCGUAAAGCGCGCGCAGGCGGAUCAGUUAGUCUGUCUUAAAAGUUCGGGGCUUAACCCCGUGAUGGGAUGGAAACUGCUGAUCUAGAGUAUCGGAGAGGAAAGUGGAAUUCCUAGUGUAGCGGUGAAAUGCGUAGAUAUUAGGAAGAACACCAGUGGCGAAGGCGACUUUCUGGACGAAAACUGACGCUGAGGCGCGAAAGCCAGGGGAGCGAACGGGAUUAGAUACCCCGGUAGUCCUGGCCGUAAACGAUGGGUACUAGGUGUAGGAGGUAUCGACCCCUUCUGUGCCGGAGUUAACGCAAUAAGUACCCCGCCUGGGGAGUACGACCGCAAGGUUG